rnacentral:rRNA from 1 species
CCUACGGGUGGCAGCAUGGGGAAUAUUGGACAAUGGGCGAAAGCCUGAUCCAGCCAUGCCGCGUGUGUGAAGAAGGCCUUCGGGUUGUAAAGCACUUUCAGUGGGGAAGAAAGCCUUGGGGCUAAUACCCUCGAGGAAGGACAUCACCCACAGAAGAAGCACCGGCUAACUCCGUGCCAGCAGCCGCGGUAAUACGGAGGGUGCGAGCGUUAAUCGGAAUUACUGGGCGUAAAGCGCGCGUAGGCGGUCUGAUAAGCCGGUUGUGAAAGCCCCGGGCUCAACCUGGGAACGGCAUCCGGAACUGUCAGGCUAGAGUGCAGGAGAGGAAGGUAGAAUUCCCGGUGUAGCGGUGAAAUGCGUAGAGAUCGGGAGGAAUACCAGUGGCGAAGGCGGCCUUCUGGACUGACACUGACGCUGAGGUGCGAAAGCGUGGGUAGCAAACAGGAUUAGAUACCCCAGUAGUC